CUUUCCCCUCCCCCGGUCCUUAGACAGCCAUUUCCACUCUGCCACAUGGCCUUACCAACAAACAAACCGAUAACUGGAGAUGAAACACAAAUCGCUAACUGCCCAGUCGGGAGAGAGAAAAGCGCAGUUGGUAGAGAAAACCUGCUGCCUAGGAUUUGCAAGGCAUGCUCGUUGUUAAGCCAGUACACUAGCUGAUGUCAUGGAGACCCCUAUACCUCACAAAGGAGCAACUCUGCAGCCCUCUUACUGCAGACCUGUUCUAAACCAGCUACAAGUAGAACUAUAUGACCUGCUUCCAGAAGGGCAAAGUGAAGAGGGAACAUCAAUGGCUCACUUCAAGGUCUAUCUCCAGUGCAGAGACGAAACUCCAGCCAAAACACCUAAUUCUGUGCAAGCGCCACAGGCUAACACGUUGCGUGGUGUACAGGACUGUCCGGAAGGUGCUUGACAUCGAUGGAUGGUAUUUAAUGGGGAUGGAAUAUCUAGAAUGCAACCCCUGUGAAAAGAAGUUGGCAGGUUGGUCACUGGAUGUCCUUAACCAGGUGGACACAAGUUCUCAGCGAUCUUGGCUUUUCGGUUAAUUCCCAUGGUGUAUCAGGCUGUCCUGUGACCUGAAGGUAGUCAGAAUAGACGAGGGAGCGUACACUUGGGAACAGCGUGACUAGGCUCUUCCUUACCUCAAGAAGGCUGCUCCAUUGCCCCCUACUAUCUGUCAGGACCUGGAGGAGGAUGAGUACACAAGUCCUGAUGGGGUUGUCGGGUAUCAACAUGUCGUUCUCCUUGCCAAAAGUCUGAUGAGACUCUUGGAGAGGCUGUCGAUCUCGACUCGGCAUGCCCAAAGAGAUAAUCGCCCUGUGAGAGAAUCUUCCAGAGGCGAACAAGAUGAGUCUCCUCAAAGACCACAGCAGUCGAGGGGGAAGAUAGCAUGAAGCGCUCCCUAUUUGGACAAGGACCUGGACCUGCCCUGUGGCCCAACACUAGCAGCACAGUAGAGGCUUUCUUUUUGGAGCUUUGCCAGACUGUCCUUGGUGUGCGGGACAACAGGUGGGCUGCCAUCCAGAAGGACUACAGGACCAUCAGGAACAUGAUGCUGCUAAUUAUUAAUAAUGUCUACAUGUAUCAUCAUCAUCUUACUAUUGUUAGACCGUCCUCUGACUUCAGCUCAUAGACCGUGGUGUUGGUCUGGGCCAUCAACCCUGGGCUGUUCAGCACCGCCUCUCUGACUGAAGAGGAUCGCCCACCUGCACCUCUUAGGGCCGCAUGGAUGCUGGUGACAGAGCUGGCUGCAAAUGGCCUCGACCAGGCGACUGCCGCCUGGCCACGUAGCAGGACCCGGGUUAAGUCUGAGAAAGCAACUGAAAGACAAAGAUUUGAACAAAGAAUACUUGUUAGUGUUGGCAGUGGAUGGCAACUGUUGAAAUAAUUAUUAUAUUAACCAAAUACCAUUGAACACUGUCCUUUCCAGCAGUUUCCCUUUAAUCGCUUUGAACCGCCCGCGCUCGAGCCUGUCCUGGUGACGGAAAGUGUCGACAACUCCUCUGGCUGCGGUAGUGUUUGCCACAGUCCUAUCAGACAGUCUACCUUUCGAUCCGUGAGCCCCUGAAGACCCUCUUGGCCAGCCUGCAGACCUGCUGGUAUCUGGCCCUUGGCACUCCUUCUGAAUGUUACAAAUACAUUAAAAAAAUAAAAUAAAAAGCCUUUCAGGAAACAUUUGGUUUAGAAUGUCAUGACAAAUAGGGGUGCAUCAGCUGGAUUACCUGGCGGGGCUACUACUGAAGUGGAGAACGAGGCCGGCAGCGAGGCUGGGGUGGUGGCGUCCUUAUCCUGUCUCCUCAAAGCCCUCAUCCUCCAGGGGUCCCUCGACAGCAUCAGCCUCAUCUGGAGUGUCGGGGUCCGGUUGACUUCCUGCAGCACUUUGUUGGUCUGGGUGUACAGGUACUCAACACCAAUGAAUUCACAUGUAAUGUGGUGGAAGAACGCAGACACUCCGUGGCCAUGGGGUACUAGCCCUUGACAUCCAAGACUCUCUGGAUGGUCUUGUAAAGCCCAGCCUUGGUGAGAAGAGUGUUACACCCAGGCCGGGUGCGUGCCAGCUUGAAUGACCAUGUAUGUAGAGGAACAGCGGACAUGCAAAGAAGGGGUCAGGCGACUCAGGUGGCUGAUUGUAGGUCAGCCAAGGUUGGGGAGGGUACCACCACAGACCAACUCUGGUAAUUUUAUAUCUCCCAGUGCUACUCCUGGUGAACAGUGUACGGCCGAUCUGCUGCUGCUCUUUGUUCAGACAUGCCCGCCAGCUCUCAGGAUGCAGCAGCUGCAUUUUAGACAAGAAAAUGACAGUUAAAAUACUAGUAGCUUACAGUUGUGAAUAUUCUGAACCGUUGCUGUUAUAAGGUAACUCACCUCUGGACUUGCAUGUGCAGGCCUUGGAGGCAGGAAAGACUGCCAUGGGGCAGCCUCCUCUUCACACAUAGAAAUGUGUGUUAAAUGUGGUCUUAGUCAUCAAGAGCUCAUUAUAAUGUUUCUUGCAAUUCUCCAAUAUGAAGAUACUAGGAACUGCAGUCUUUGGGGCAAGGAUCUUCCUCGCUGUUGAAUGCAGUUGUCCACUGAACACUGCCCCAAAAACACUGGGACCACUGCUGCACCAAGAGGCCUUUAACACCAAGCAAACAGUGGGGAAUAAAGUAACAUUAUACUUUAUUAGAUGAAUUAACAGGUCAUCUUUACUAAUACUAAUAUUUACUCUGAAGCGUCUUAAUACCAGCAAGUGGAGAAAGGGGUGUAGCUGCCUCCUAGUCAGGGUGCCUUAUGUAUUUAAGGGCUGCUUCUA
ensembl:lncRNA